rnacentral:rRNA from 1 species
GGAGUUAGCCGGUGCUUCUUCUGUGAGUGAUGUCCUUCCUGCCGGCUAUUAACCCGCAGGCCUUCUUCCUCACUGAAAGUGCUUUACAACCCGAAGGCCUUCUUCACACACGCGGCAUGGCUGGAUCAGGGUUGCCCCCAUUGUCCAAUAUUCCCCACUGCUGCCUCCCGUAGGAGUCUGGGCCGUGUCUCAGUCCCAGUGUGGCUGAUCAUCCUCUCAGACCAGCUACGGAUCGUCGCCUUGGUGAGCCGUUACCUCACCAACCAGCUAAUCCGACAUAGGAUCAUCCGAUAGCGCGAGGCCCGAAGGUCCCCCGCUUUCCCCCGUAGGGCGUAUGCGGUAUUAGCCUGGGUUUCCCCAGGUUAUCCCCCACUACCGGGCAGAUUCCUAUGCAUUACUCACCCGUCCGCCGCUCGCCACCAGGGAGCAAGCUCCCCGUGCUGCCGCUCGACUUGCAUGUGUUAGGCCUGCCGCCAGCGUUCAAUCUGAGCCAGAAUCGAACCCUGA